GACGAACGCUGGCGGCGUGCUUAACACAUGCAAGUCGAACGGAAAGGCCCUGCUUUUGUGGGGUGCUCGAGUGGCGAACGGGUGAGUAACACGUGAGUAACCUGCCCUUGACUUUGGGAUAACUUCAGGAAACUGGGGCUAAUACCGGAUAGGAGCUCCUGCUGCAUGGUGGGGGUUGGAAAGUUUCGGCGGUUGGGGAUGGACUCGCGGCUUAUCAGCUUGAUGGUGGGGUAGUGGCGUACCAAGGUUUUGACGGGUAGCCGGCCUGAGAGGGUGACCGGCCACAUUGGGACUGAGAUACGGCCCAGACUCCUACGGGAGGCAGCAGUGGGGAGUAUUGCACAAUGGGCGGAAGCCUGAUGCAGCAACGCCGCGUGCGGGAUGACGGCCUUCGGGUUGUAAACCGCUUUCGCCUGUGACGAAGCGUGAGUGACGGUAAUGGGUAAAGAAGCACCGGCUAACUACGUG
rnacentral:rRNA from 1 species